AAUUUUACCAACGGUUUCAUAUAGGGAUUAUAUCCGAAGUUUCAUCAAAUGGUUCCAUCAAGGAGGUAUACCAGAACUUUAUCAAGGGGUUUCACGAAAGUAUCACCAAAGGGGUCUCAGCCAGAGUGAUUGUGGUAUCACUAAAGUCCUAACCGACUUCAGGGACAUGAUCCGACGAUCAUAGGAAUCAUAGGCAAGUUUUACCCGUAGAGGAUGAAACUGAUCAUCAGGGAUUAAU
rnacentral:lncRNA from 1 species